rnacentral:rRNA from 1 species
UGACGAGUUUGAUCCUGGCUCAGGAUGAACGCUAGCGGCAGGCCUAACACAUGCAAGUCGAGGGGUAGCAGGAUAAAGCUUGCUUUAUUGCUGACGACCGGCGCACGGGUGCGUAACGCGUAUGCAACCUACCUUAUACUGGGGUAUAGCCCGGAGAAAUUCGGAUUAAUCCCCCAUAGUAUUAUUGGAUCGCAUGGUUUGAUAAUUAAAGGUUACGGUAUAAGAUGGGCAUGCGUCCCAUUAGCUAGAUGGUGAGGUAACGGCUCACCAUGGC